GACCGAUUUGUGAAGACUUUGUGAACUUACUCUCGACUCUAGAAUUUACUUAGGUGUAUUUUAUGUCAAGCAUUUUUGCACGGCUAAAAUCUUCUUAUUCAUAACAAUCAAUACAUUUUACAUGAAAUGCAAUGAUUUUGACGAUUUUCAACAAAAUUUUAACUAUAAAAUAAUUCUAAAUUACACCUCCGCUUGGAUCAUUUUUUUUUUUUAAAACUAAGUACAUAAU